CGAGAAUCGCAGUAAAAGAUCUUCAACUCUGCUUUACGGUUAACGGAUAUCCGGCACUAGACGAGACUCGAGAUACGAACCACCAAGAAAAUCCCACAGCCGAAUAAUAAAUUUAUCGAAUAAUCGAGGAAAGAUAAAAGAUAUUAAAAAAUUGUAAUAGACUUAAAUAAACGACAGUAACUCUCAAAGUCGUGGCGCUUGACUCGUAGAAUUCGAUUGAACAAUAAAAUGUAUGAAUCACCUAUGAACCAUCCGGCGGUAGCGUAAUUCUCCUUCGGCUGAAUAAUCGGGCCUUCGCUGCUCGUUUCAACUUCUUGCGGCUUACUCUCCGUCAGAUGAUUUCCGUCAACGGCGACAACGCUCACGACAUAAACCUCGCCACUUUGAAGACCUCGGAUCUAAGAAAAAAAUCGUUUAAUAAAACUUUAUUCUUGAA